rnacentral:rRNA from 1 species
UUUAUAUGAGAGUUUGAUCCUGGCUCAGGAUGAACGCCGGCGGUGUGCCUAAUACAUGCAAGUCGUACGCACUGGCCCAACUGAUUGAUGGUGCUUGCACCUGAUUGACGAUGGAUCACCAGUGAGUGGCGGACGGGUGAGUAACACGUAGGUAACCUGCCCCGGAGCGGGGGAUAACAUUUGGAAACAGAUGCUAAUACCGCAUAACAAUAAAAGCCGCAUGGCUUUUAUUUGAAAGAUGGCUUUGGCUAUCACUCUGGGAUGGACCUGCGGUGCAUUAGCUAGUUGGUAAGGUAACGGCUUACCAAGGCGAUGAUGCAUAGCCGAGUUGAGAGACUGAUCGGCCACAAUGGAACUGAGACACGGUCCAUACUCCUACGGGAGGCAGCAGUAGGGAAUCUUCCACAAUGGGCGCAAGCCUGAUGGAGCAACACCGCGUGAGUGAAGAAGGGUUUCGGCUCGUAAAGCUCUGUUGUUGGAGAAGAACGUGCGUGAGAGUAACUGUUCACGCAGUGACGGUAUCCAACCAGAAAGUCACGGCUAACUACGUGCCAGCAGCCGCGGUAAUACGUAGGUGGCAAGCGUUAUCCGGAUUUAUUGGGCGUAAAGCGAGCGCAGGCGGUUGCUUAGGUCUGAUGUGAAAGCCUUCGGCUUAACCGAAGAAGUGCAUCGGAAACCGGGCGACUUGAGUGCAGAAGAGGACAGUGGAACUCCAUGUGUAGCGGUGGAAUGCGUAGAUAUAUGGAAGAACACCAGUGGCGAAGGCGGCUGUCUGGUCUGCAACUGACGCUGAGGCUCGAAAGCAUGGGUAGCGAACAGGAUUAGAUACCCUGGUAGUCCAUGCCGUAAACGAUGAGUGCUAGGUGUUGGAGGGUUUCCGCCCUUCAGUGCCGGAGCUAACGCAUUAAGCACUCCGCCUGGGGAGUACGACCGCAAGGUUGAAACUCAAAGGAAUUGACGGGGGCCCGCACAAGCGGUGGAGCAUGUGGUUUAAUUCGAAGCUACGCGAAGAACCUUACCAGGUCUUGACAUCUUGCGCUAACCUUAGAGAUAAGGCGUUCCCUUCGGGGACGCAAUGACAGGUGGUGCAUGGUCGUCGUCAGCUCGUGUCGUGAGAUGUUGGGUUAAGUCCCGCAACGAGCGCAACCCUUGUUACUAGUUGCCAGCAUU